GACGUAGGGGGCGAGCGUUGUUCGGAAUUACUGGGCGUAAAGGGCGCGUAGGCGGCCGAUCAAGUUAGAUGUGAAAGUCCUGGGCUUAACCUGGGGACUGCAUUUGAUACUGAUUGGCUUGAAUUCGGGAGAGGAUAGCGGAAUUCCCAGUGUAGAGGUGAAAUUCGUAGAUAUUGGGAAGAACACCGGUGGCGAAGGCGGCUAUCUGGACCGACAUUGACGCUGAGGCGCGAAAGCGUGGGGAGCAAACAGG
rnacentral:rRNA from 1 species